GCCAUUUAAGGUACAAUAUAUUUACAAGAUGAGUGGAACAAAAAUGUAGAGAUUAAGAUGAAUGUUUAAUAACACAAUAAUAAAUAAAAUUAGGGAAGUAGUAUCACAGAAUUUACAGUUUUGGAUAUUGAAGUGAAUCUAAUGUUUAACAGAGUUGAAUGGCAAAAAAUAAUUUAUAUAAUCGACCUCAAUUAUAGUUUCGAUUAAAACUUAGUUAUAGUUGUAUAAUAUAUUCACAUCAAGCUUCUAUAUAAACAAAAUGAAACAUUAUAUAAUCAUAGAACAAUUUUUUAAAUUAGAUUAUGUGACAAAGCUUUUAUAUAUUUAUUGUUAGAGAUAUUCCCAUUAGGGGAGUACAUUCGGUUAGUUGAAUCGAAUCGAAUCGAAUUGUCAACUAAUUAUAUUAUUAAAUGACUUUAAAAUUAUUAAUUCAAUUCAACUAAAAUUGAGAGAAAAUUGAAAUUAACGAAAAUAUAAAAUAUUCAAUCAGUUGUUAGUUAUAACUAGAGAAACAA
rnacentral:misc_RNA from 1 species